UCUCUCUCUCUCUCUCUCCCCUCCCCCCUCUUUACCACGUAAAAAAACCCUUUCUCACCACACACCAUUGAACCCCAAACCAUAAAAACAGAGGAAGAAACCAGAAAGAAAAAUAGGAAAUCAAAUACUCACACACCUGAACCAGCAGAAGGAAGAAAAAAUCAAGGCCUGAACAAAUCGCUGCUUCCAUAUCUGCCCUAUUCACUCAGAAGGUCGACAACAAGAAGUUGAUAACAUCGAUUAAGUUUAUCAUCAACAAAAUUUGAAAGUCAUAAACAAAUAGGUGUUCUCAAAAAUGAGUACCAUGGCUUCACCAUUUUGUGUAUUUUUUGAUAGCCUUAUUAUAAACCAACUUUUCCACUGCAAGUUCAUGCCAAUGACAACACCAGUUGAAAAAUUCAGAUUUAUGAGCUUGACUGAUGAAGAAUUCAUGUGUGAUUUGAUCUUUGAGAAUAUUGGUCGUAAUCCGCCUCCACUACUUUAAGAUGGCAUGAUUGGAUAAUUCAACAAACAUAUGUAAAAGUAUGAUAUUCAUGUUAGUUUGGAUUGCAACUCACUUUUAAUAGAGAUUUUUUUGUUUUUUAAUUUUACUUUUUGUUCUUCUGUUCUAUGUUGGACAUAAGGUUGUCAUUGUUUAUUUGAUUAUCUCAUAACUAUUUUUUAUUGGAAUGAAAAGAAUUAAUUCUCAUACAUGAGUAUAAAUUUGAAUUGGUGAGUUUGUUUUCCUCAUUGUUAUAAAUUUUAUUUUUUUCCAUAACAUUAUCUUCAAAAUACGACCUCUUCAAAAAAAAAAAAAAAA